rnacentral:rRNA from 1 species
GAUGAACGCUGGCGGCGUGCCUACACAUGCAAGUCGAGCGCGUCUGAUUUGAUGCUUGCAUUAACGAAAGAUGAGCGGCGGACGGGUGAGUAACGCGUGGGUAACCUGCCCUAUACACAUGGAUAACAUACUGAAAAGUUUACUAAUACAUGAUAAUAUAUAUUUACGGCAUCGUAGAUAUAUCAAAGUGUUAGCGGUAUAGGAUGGACCCGCGUCUGAUUAGCUAGUUGGUGAGAUAACUGCCCACCAAGGCGACGAUCAGUAGCCGACCUGAGAGGGUGAUCGGCCACAUUGGAACUGAGACACGGUCCAAACUCCUACGGGAGGCAGCAGUGGGGAAUAUUGCACAAUGGGCGCAAGCCUGAUGCAGCAACGCCGCGUGAACGAUGAGGUCUUCGGAUCGUAAAGUUCUGUUGCAGGGGAAGAUAAUGACGGUACCCUGUGAGGAAGCCCCGGCUAACUACGUGCCAGCAGCCGCGGUAAUACGUAGGGGGCUAGCGUUAUCCGGAUUUACUGGGCGUAAAGGGUGCGUAGGUGGUCUUUCAAGUCGGUGGUUAAAGGCUACGGCUCAACCGUAGUUAGCCUCCGAAACUGGAAGACUUGAGUGCAGGAGAGGAAAGUGGAAUUCCCAGUGUAGCGGUGAAAUGCGUAGAUAUUGGGAGGAACACCAGUAGCGAAGGCGGCUUUCUGGACUGCAACUGACACUGAGGCACGAAAGCGUGGGUAGCAAACAGGAUUAGAUACCCUGGUAGUCCACGCUGUAAACGAUGAGUACUAGGUGUCGGGGGUUACCCCCCUCGGUGCCGCAGCUAACGCAUUAAGUACUCCGCCUGGGGAGUACGCACGCAAGUGUGAAACUCAAAGGAAUUGACGGGGACCCGCACAAGUAGCGGAGCAUGUGGUUUAAUUCGAAGCAACGCGAAGAACCUUACCUAAGCUUGACAUCCCUUAGACCGGUGUUUAAUCACACCUUCCCUUCGGGGCUGAGGUGACAGGUGGUGCAUGGUUGUCGUCAGCUCGUGUCGUGAGAUGUUGGGUUAAGUCCCGCAACGAGCGCAACCCUUGUCUUUAGUUGCCAGCAUUCAGUUGGGCACUCUAGAGAGACCGCCAGGGAUAACCUGGAGGAAGGUGGGGAUGACGUCAAAUCAUCAUGCCCCUUAUGCUUAGGGCUACACACGUGCUACAAUGGGUGGUACAGAGGGUUGCCAAACCGUGAGGUGGAGCUAAUCCCUUAAAGCCAUUCUCAGUUCGGAUUGUAGGCUGAAACUCGCCUACAUGAAGCUGGAGUUACUAGUAAUCGCAGAUCAGAAUGCUGCGGUGAAUGCGUUCCCGGGUCU